CUACAAAAACUCCCCGCGUUCUUCUCAAACCCGCGAAAUCCGCUCGGCAAAUUCGUAAACCUGUGGCACGACCAACUAAACUUCCUCAUUCUUUCACCUGAAGACGAAAAUUUAUAUCGAGACGCACUCUGCUCCGUUUCAGAGAAGACCAAUUCGUGAGUUCAAACUCGAAAAUGGAGUUGAUACUGCCUUGGCUACUCUGUAAGGUUCUUUAAAUUUCUGAUUCUUUCUCGGAGCAUGACGAAGAAGGAGAACACUCCGGGUUUACUAUCGUCGGAUGAAGAAUACUGCGGUGGUCGAUCAUCUAGUUCCAAACGCAGAUAUCGAAAGACGAAAUCGCAAUCACCAUUACCUCGGAAGAGUACUCGCCAAGCGAAGAAGGCUCGACUCCUCGGUUCUCGGUCUUGCUUGCAGAAGGAUUCCCGUAAUGUCGACGAAUUCAACUCGUUCUGUGAAGAUUUUGAUCAAGUUUUUUCUACCUUCAAGGUAUCUGCUGGUUGUGGAAGCGUUUGCAGAAACGAAUUAUGGAUUGAUAAAUAUAGACCGCAUUCAUUGGAAGAGCUUGCUGUACAGAAAAAAAAGGUAGAAGAAGUUAAGGUAUGGUUUGAAAACAGGUUGAGAACACCUAAGGAUACUAAUGGAAGUAAUGUUAUUCUCAUCACUGGUCCUGCUGGAGUUGGGAAAUCUGCAACUGUUCAUGUAAUAGCUUCUCAUCUUAGAGCCAGAUUAUGUGAAUGGGACACACCUACUCCUGUGAUCUGGCAAGAACAUCUGCAUAACUUGACUGCAGGGAUACAGUACACAUCUAAACUUGACGAGUUUGAAAGUUUUAUUGGGAGAAUGAGGAAGUAUGGAGUAAUACCUUCAUGCUUUCCUAUAGACUCAAAACAACCGGUCAUACUCUUGAUAGAUGAUCUUCCUUUGACCAAUGGGAAGGCUGCUCUUAGAAGACUGCAGAGCUGUUUGCAUCUUUAUGUGCAAUCAACACAAGUUCCAACAGCCAUUGUGAUUACCGAUUGUGCCAAAGCCGAAACAACAGAUCUCACUGUCCAGUACUUGGAAGAGAUUCAGCUCUGUCUGGAGAAUGCUGGGGCUUGUAAGGUUGCAUUCAAUCCAAUAACAAAUAACUCCAUUAAAAAGACAAUUUCUAAAAUAUGUUCUCAUGAACGGUACAAUCUGGCAGUUGAACAAAUUGAUGCAAUAGCCAAAUCAAGUGGUGGUGAUGUGAGGCAUGCAAUCAUGUCUUUACAAUUAUUUUGCCUGAAACCAAGCCAGAUAUGUUCAUCAUCAUCCGGUGCUCCAGAAUCUUUGAAAGAUGAAGAGAUGCCGCUUUCAGUGGUGGAUGAUCGAUUCUCUUUUCAAUUUGGCCGUGAUGAGACUCUUUCUCUAUUUCAUGCCCUGGGAAAAUUUUUGCACAACAAACGACAGAGUGUGAAUGAAUUGGUAUUAGACAGUGAGUUUUCCGUUCAAGAAAGUCUAUUAAGACGGCCACUUAAUAUGGAUCCUCCAGAAAAGGUUCUCUGUCAAGCACAUGGGCAAGCCAGGCCUAUUGCUGAUUUUCUACAUGAAAAUGUUCUUGACUUCAUGAAUGAGGAAGCUAUAGAUGAUGCAUGGGUUGUGGCUUCGUAUUUAGGUGAUGCUGACACACUCCUUUCUUCUUACGACGGAAUGCUAGCCAGGCAUAAUGAUGCAGAAAAUAUUCUACACUUGGCUGCUGCUUCAGUUGCAGUCCGUGGGGUGCUAUUUGGCAAUUCUCAUCCGUUGUCUUCCAGGUGGCAUGCUAUUCGUAGACCAAAGCUUUGGCAAAUCGAGGGAUCCUCAUUGUCCAAUAAGAAGAUGGUUAAACAAAGAUUUAUCACUUAUGGUGGGAUCAGUUUAGCUCAUUUUUCAGUAGUUGCCACCGAAUACAUUCCUGCAUUGAAGUGGCUGGGUAAUAGUGUGUCCGAAGAUCAUGACAAGUUACGGGUAUUAACCGAAGAAAAUACAGGUUUUGAUUUGGUGAUUUCAGGAGACCGAGGAAGUCAUACUUCUGAUGAAGAAAUUGAAGAUUGGUAAAUUAGAUAGGCACCCCGUUUUGUAAGCAGUCCCAAGAUGAUUGGAUAUCUUUCUCCACACCAUAUGUGGUUUUGUAAAAUAAAUCCUGUUGCCUUGCCAUUUAAGACGGUGUUAAAUUUGACCCUAGGGAAUUAGCUUCCAGCAGUUGUUUCCCAGAGGCAUUAUCCAAACUUCCGACUUAUGACGUAUGGUCGCAUUGCAUGUAAACUCCCCCUUGUUGAAUUCACAUUUUAUGCACGGGAAUUGGUCGGAAUAGCUUUCUCUCGAAUCAGGUAUUGUCUAAGGUAGUAAUCUCUUUACCUCAUGCUGGUCAGGGUUUUUAGUUUGAUUAUAAACUGCCUCGUAUGCGUGCAUACAUACACUGGAAAACCCAACCAUUGCCUGGAAAACAUGGGGAAAACUCAUUUGCAAGUUAUUUAUCGUCAUUGACCUAGUCACACUGACUAAGUUUUCAUGCUUUUGUUUUUCAUCUUGAGCUUUUGUUCUCAAAUUAUCCACCUUGUUUUGCUUCUCCUGAACUGGGUCUCUUCCUCUUGUUGAUGCCGAGCAUUCUCGCAUUGAAUGUGAGACGUAUUUGCUUUCUAGUGAUCUUAGUUCGGUAGCUCUCUUGUCAAGCUCUUUCGAGGCAGAAUCUGCCUUCUUCUUUUGCCUAUAUUCCUCAGCUUGUUGAACAACUAUGGCAUGAACUACGGUUAAGAAGCUCUUGAUUCCUUCAGAAGCCACUUUGUCUGGAAUCCUAUCAACCGCGAGAUUCCAUUCCUCACACAGUGAGUAGAUUCUAGAAUCUUGGCCUGUUCUUAAUAAUGGGUUUCCACUUAUCUGGAAAAGGCAAAGCCGUAGCCAGCCUGUAAGAGAUUGGACAUAAUCCCGCUGAGCUUUCACCAGGUUGCAGAAAGAGGCAUGCCAUUGCUGGACUUCAAGCUCAAGCUGGAGAGUUGAUUGGCGGUGAAUCUCGGAUGUCGGCUCGGCAGAUGGUAUGAUGUUUAGAUAUUUAAGCUGUUCAACAAUGUGUGUUUGGACCUGAUGAGACUCGUACAUACUUCUCCACAUGCACAUCAAUCUGUAGAAACCAGGGCAGAUCUUAGUGUCUAGAAUAGUAUACUUCUAAGUUAAGACAGCAUUACUAUUUACGUUCACGAAGGCAUCCAGAAUAAGCUUAGUAUUUUUUCCAUUUAGGCUUCCUGAAAUACCAGAAGGUAGCCAAACUGUACAAGUGAAAAAUGAAAACCCGCCUAUAGAAAACUCGAUCAUUUCCCCAUUAAAUAAUGAAAUGGAAAAUAAUAGUUUUCUAAAAUCCUCAGCCUAUUUGAAUUGUUUUGAGUUCUUCCAUCAGUAAAUGAUGGAAGCACAGAAGCUAUGGACUUCAUAGCUUAAAUUUCAAGCAAGCAUCAGAAUACAGUUCAAUGAUUUGUGAUUUCUUAUUUCUGUUGAGACUAAAACAGAAGUAUGAAAGAGACUUACUAACCCUUUGACAAGCUCAAGAAGUUGUGGAUAGAGCUCAAUUUCUCUUAGCUUGAUGAUUUCAGCAGAUGUAGUUUCAAUGGCCUGAGAAGCAACCAUCAUUUGUGACUCCAGCUUUUCAACUUCUUUCUUAGUUUUCUCAGUCUUAACAUAAUCAGCCCUCUUCAACUCUAGCUUCCUCAAUUGUUCCACCUUCUUCUCAUGCUCUAUCCUUGUGGCCUCGGCAGUCUAAAAAAGUCACUCAACGUAAUUUCACCAACUUUAAUACACAAAAUUCCACAACCAAGUUCUUCAAUGCUUUCAAAUGCAUUGAGAAAUGCUAAAGUUUCAUCUUUGUUUGGUUAUGUUGGACCCCAUUAAGUAAAAGAAAAAAAAAAGUAAAAAGAAUCAUUUCAAAUUGAAGACUUUAUUUAAAGUACCAAAAUGUCAUAUUAUUCCACCAAUGUGACAAGAGAUUUGAUUGAAAUAUGCGAAAGUGAAAGCAUUACCUUGACCUCUUGGUACAGUUUUUUCUCCCAAGCGUACAACUUCUCCACUGUUGAACAGUGGCUCCCGCUAUUCCCACCAUAUCCAUUCCCCAUAUUCGUUGCUAUUAUUUCUCCAUUUAACUUACCAAAUGCAUCAUUUGGUUUUGUGUUUGAACCCCACAAACUCCACCCAUUAUUGUAAACCUGCCCUGCUACCAACAUGAUAUGAAACUCGUUAGGGUGCCUUAUCAUUUGAGGAAUUUGAAGAGAAAACUAUUAUUUGAUUGAUUUUCUACUUCUUUGUGUGGUGUUAUAUUUUUACCUCCUUUUUUCUGAGAAGAAAAAGUGGGGACUUCCAAAAGCAAAGAGAGCUGAGCACCAGCAUCAGCAGCUUUGAGAAAGUACUCAUCAAGCUCCUUAAUAAUCUCUACCAGAUCUUUAGUAUUCCUCGACACUACCAUAGCAAGCUCGGUGCUAGAAGUAUCCUUUGAAAAACCACUCACCACUGACGGCGGCGGUGCUGAACUCGCCGCCCCUGUUACAGUGACCAUAGCUUCCGAUGCAAUGGUGGUAGCUUCCCAUUUUUCCUCAGUCACAGUGCGAGAUGUCGACGGCACAAAAGGGUCCCAGAAAUCCCAAGUGGAUGAUGGAGGCGGCGGUGGCGGCGGAGGUAGUGCCGGGGAGGCCGUGAUCGAUGUCCAGGUGUCGGAACUAGGACUCAUGGGGAUAUGCGGAGGUGGAGGAGGCGGCGGCGUUCGUGGAGUUGGAGAUGGGAGCACCGGCGGGAGGUGGUGGUGCUGGUGCGGCUGAGGGCGGCGAAUGUAGGUCUCUGCAUUGGAAAACUGUCGGAGAGCAGCGCCGGUACCGCGAAGAGAACGAAUGUACAAGCUAUGAGAAGCUGAAAAAGCUUGCCUUGCCUUAACCAACUGUUUCAUGUACCUCUUUCUUGCUUUGCACCUUGAAACAGUUUCCUCUCUCUCUAAUCUCGAGUAACAGCAACCCAUAGCUUCUUCUACAGCUCCUUUGACCAAAAUCUGAACCAGAAAAAGAAGUCUUUCAAGAACAGAUAACAAAACUCCGGCGGGUUUUUGCCUCCGAGCUUCACAUUCCGAUGAAGGUGGCUAAAAUGGGAGAUCUUCCAAUGGUGGUGGUGGAGGAGGGAACUGUAAAGGCUCGUGCUUAAAAAAAGCAACUCUCUUUCUUUUUCCUUGUUACUCGCUGGCAAAGCCGGUGCCUUUUUUCUCACUCUCGUAGACUCGGAAUUGACCCAUUUCAAACCUUCGAACUUUGGCUACUUCACAUAUAUAAAAAAAAAAAUAAACAAAAUAAAAAUAGUAAAAUGGGUUGGGGGAGUUAAGGAGUAUAUACUUUGGUCAGGUUUAAAGAUGCAGCACACAGAGAGACAAUAGGAGCAUCGGGCAGAGAGCCUGUAGUGUUUUUUAAUAAAAAAAUUAUUGUUGUUAUUAUAGAAAAGACGAAACUGUCCUA